rnacentral:rRNA from 1 species
UACGUAGGGGGCAAGCGUUGUCCGGAUUUAUUGGGCGUAAAGAGCGUGUAGGCGGCUUGGUAGGUCCGCUGUGAAAACUCGAGGCUCAACCUCGAGACGCCGGUGGAAACCAUCAGGCUAGAGUCCGGAAGAGGAGAGUGGAAUUCCUGGUGUAGCGGUGAAAUGCGCAGAUAACAGGAAGAACACCCGUGGCUAAGGCGGCUCUCUAGUACGGUACUGACGCUGAGACGCGAAAGCGUGGGGAGCGAACAGG